UGAUCAUGGCUCAGGAUGAACGCUAGCUACAGGCUUAACACAUGCAAGUCGAGGGGAAACGAUAUUGGAAGCUUGCUUCCGAUAGGCGUCGACCGGCGCACGGGUGAGUAACGCGUAUCCAACCUGCCCACCACUUGGGGAUAACCUUGCGAAAGUAAGACUAAUACCCAAUGAUAUCUCUAGAAGACAUCUGAAAGUAGAUUAAAGAUUUAUCGGUGAUGGAUGGGGAUGCGU
rnacentral:rRNA from 1 species